rfam:Aspergillus aculeatus ATCC 16872 unplaced genomic scaffold ASPACscaffold_2, whole genome shotgun sequence.
GUCAGUGUGGCCGAGUGGUUAAGGCGAUUGACUCGAACCUUAGUAGGUCCCAUCUUUCUAAGGAGAUAUCAAUUCCAUUCGUGGGCGUAGGUUCGAAUCCUACCGCUGACG